rnacentral:rRNA from 1 species
CAGGCUUAACACAUGCAAGUCGAGGGGCAGCAUGGUCUUAGCUUGCUAAGGCCGAUGGCGACCGGCGCACGGGUGAGUAACACGUAUCCAACCUGCCGUCUACUCUUGGACAGCCUUCUGAAAGGAAGAUUAAUACAAGAUGGCAUCAUGAGUCCGCAUGUUCACAUGAUUAAAGGUAUUCCGGUAGACGAUGGGGAUGCGUUCCAUUAGAUAGUAGGCGGGGUAACGGCCCACCUAGUCUUCGAUGGAUAGGGGUUCUGAGAGGAAGGUCCCCCACAUUGGAACUGAGACACGGUCCAAACCCCUACGGGAGGCAGCAGUGAGGAAUAUUGGUCAAUGGGCGAGAGCUUGAACCAGCCAAGUAGCGUGAAGGAUGACUGCCCUAUGGGUUGUAAACUUCUUUUAUAAAGGAAUAAAGUCGGGUAUGGAUACCCGUUUGCAUGUACUUUAUGAAUAAGGAUCGGCUAACUCCGUGCCAGCAGCCGCGGUAGUACGGAGGAUCCGAGCGUUAUCCGGAUUUAUUGGGUUUAAAGGGAGCGUAGAUGGAUGUUUAAGUCAGUUGUGAAAGUUUGCGGCUCAACCGUAAAAUUGCAGUUGAUACUGGAUAUCUUGAGUGCAGUUGAGGCAGGCGGAAUUCGUGGUGUAGCGGUGAAAUGCUUAGAUAUCACGAAGAACUCCGAUUGCGAAGGCAGCCUGCUAAGCUGCAACUGACAUUGAGGCUCGAAAGUGUGGGUAUCAAACAGGAUUAGAUACCCUGGUAGUCCACACGGUAAACGAUGAAUACUCGCUGUUUGCGAUAUACUGCAAGCGGCCAAGCGAAAGCGUUAAGUAUUCCACCUGGGGAGUACGCCGGCAACGGUGAAACUCAAAGGAAUUGACGGGGGCCCGCACAAGCGGAGGAACAUGUGGUUUAAUUCGAUGAUACGCGAGGAACCUUACCCGGGCUUAAAUUGCAGAUGAAUUACGGUGAAAGCCGUAAGCCGCAAGGCAUCUGUGAAGGUGCUGCAUGGUUGUCGUCAGCUCGUGCCGUGAGGUGUCGGCUUAAGUGCCAUAACGAGCGCAACCCUUGUUGUCAGUUACUAACAGGUUCCGCUGAGGACUCUGACAAGACUGCCAUCGUAAGAUGUGAGGAAGGUGGGGAUGACGUCAAAUCAGCACGGCCCUUACGUCCGGGGCUACACACGUGUUACAAUGGGGGGUACAGAGGGCCGCUACCACGCGAGUGGAUGCCAAUCCCCAAAACCUCUCUCAGUUCGGACUGGAGUCUGCAACCCGACUCCACGAAGCUGGAUUCGCUAGUAAUCGCGCAUCAGCCACGGCGCGGUGAAUACGUUCCCGGGCCUUGUACACACCGCCCGUCAAGCCAUGGGAGCCGGGGGUACCUGAAGUGCGUAACCGCGAGGAGCGCCCUAGGGUAAAACUGGUGACUGGGGCUA